rnacentral:rRNA from 1 species
AACGUAGGAGACGAACGUUAUCCGGAGGUACUGGGCGUAAAGGGCGUGUAGGCGGUUUGUUAAGUCUGGCGUGAAAGCUCUCGGCUAAACCGGGAGAGGUCGUUGGAUACUGGCGAACUAGAGGAUGGUAGAGGCGUGUGGAAUUCCGGGUGUAGUGGUGAAAUGCGUAGAGAUCCGGAGGAACACCAGUGGCGAAGGCGACACGCUGGGCCAUACCUGACGCUAAAGCGCGACAGCAUGGGGAGCAAACGGG